rnacentral:rRNA from 1 species
UACGAACCGAGCGAACGUUAUUCGGAAUCACUGGGCUUAAAGGGCGCGUAGGCGGGCCAUCAAGUCAGGGGUGAAAGCCCCCAGCUCAACUGGGGAAGUGCCUUUGAUACUGGUGGUCUCGAGGGGGAUAGGGGCAUGCGGAACUUCCGGUGGAGCGGUGAAAUGCGUAGAUAUCGGAAGGAACACCGGUGGCGAAAGCGGCGUACUGGGUCUUAUCUGACGCUGAGGCACGAAAGCUAGGGGAGCGAACGGG